rnacentral:rRNA from 1 species
GAGUUUGAUCUUGGCUCAGAUUGAACGCUGGCGGCAUGCCUUACACAUGCAAGUCGAACGGCAGCACGGGAGCUUGCUCCUGGUGGCGAGUGGCGAACGGGUGAGUAAUGCAUCGGAACGUAUCCUGGAGUGGGGGAUAACGUAGCGAAAGUUACGCUAAUACCGCAUAUUCUGUGAGCAGGAAAGCGGGGGACCUUCGGGCCUCGCGCUCUUGGAGCGGCCGAUGUCGGAUUAGCUAGUUGGUGAGGUAAAGGCUCACCAAGGCGACGAUCCGUAGCAGGUCUGAGAGGAUGAUCUGCCACACUGGAACUGAGACACGGUCCAGACUCCUACGGGAGGCAGCAGUGGGGAAUUUUGGACAAUGGGGGCAACCCGUGAUCCAGCCAUGCCGCGUGAGUGAAGAAGGCCUCGGUU